rnacentral:rRNA from 1 species
AUUGAACGCUGGCGGCAGGCCUAACACAUGCAAGUCGAACGAGUGGCGGACGGGUGAGUAAUGUCUGGGAAACUGCCUGAUGGAGGGGGAUAACUACUGGAAACGGUAGCUAAUACCGCAUACCAUCAGAUGUGCCCAGAUGGGAUUGGGUGGUUGGUGGGGUAACGGCUCACCAAGGCGACGAUCCCUAGCUGGUCUGAGAGGAUGACCAGCAACACGGGAACUGGGACCGGGUCCAGAUUCCUACGGAAGGCGGCAUAGGGGAAUAUUGGACAAUGGGCGAAAGCCUGACGCAGCCAUGCCGGGUGUAUGAGGAAGGCCUUCGGGUGGUAAACUACUUUCAGCGGGGAGGCGUUACCCGCAGAAGAAGCACCGGCUAACUCCGUGCCAGCCGCCGCGGUAAUAC